rnacentral:rRNA from 1 species
GGUUAAGUGACUAAGCGUACAUGGUGGAUGCCUUGGCAGUCAGAGGCGAUGAAGGACGUACUAACCUGCGAUAAGCCGUGAGCAGUCGGUAAGAGACAUUACGACUCACGGAUUUCCGAAUGGGGAAACCCACUUAGCAUAAGCUAGGUAUCGCUGCGUGAAUACAUAGCGUAGCGAGGCGAACCGGGAGAACUGAAACAUCUAAGUACCCCGAGGAAAAGAAAUCAACCGAGAUUCCCUCAGUAGCGGCGAGCGAACGGGGAUUAGCCCUUAAGCAUCUUGGAAGUUAGUGGAACGGUCCUGGAAAGGCCGGCGAUACAGGGUGAUAGCCCCGUACACGAAAACAACCUUGAUGUGAAAUCGAGUAGGGCGGGACACGUGACAUCCUGUCUGAAUAUGGGGGGACCAUCCUCCAAGGCUAAAUACUCCUGACUGACCGAUAGUGAACCAGUACCGUGAGGGAAAGGCGAAAAGAACCCCUGUGAGGGGAGUGAAAUAGAACCUGAAACCGUGUACGUACAAGCAGUGGGAGCCCUUCGGGGUGACUGCGUACCUUUUGUAUAAUGGGUCAGCGACUUACAUUUUGUAGCGAGGUUAACCGUAUAGGGGAGCCGUAGGGAAACCGAGUCUUAACUGGGCGUCUAGUUGCAAGGUGUAGACCCGAAACCGGGUGAUCUAGCCAUGGGCAGGUUGAAGGUUGAGUAACAUCAACUGGAGGACCGAACCCACUAACGUUGCAAAGUUAGGGGAUGACCUGUGGCUGGGGGUGAAAGGCCAAUCAAACUCGGAGAUAGCUGGUUCUCCCCGAAAGCUAUUUAGGUAGCGCCUCGGACGAAUACUACUGGGGGUAGAGCACUGUUUGGGCUAGGGGGUCAUCCCGACUUACCAACCCCAUGCAAACUCCGAAUACCAGUAAGUACUAUCCGGGAGACACACGGCGGGUGCUAACGUCCGUCGUGAAGAGGGAAACAACCCAGACCGCCGGCUAAGGUCCCAAAGUUCUGGUUAAGUGGGAAACGAUGUGGGAAGGCUCAGACAGCUAGGAUGUUGGCUUAGAAGCAGCCAUCAUUUAAAGAAAGCGUAAUAGCUCACUAGUCGAGUCGGCCUGCGCGGAAGAUGUAACGGGGCUCAAAC